rnacentral:rRNA from 1 species
AUUGAACGCUGGCGGCAUGCCUUACACAUGCAAGUCGAACGGCAGCGGGGACUUCGGUCCGCCGGCGAGUGGCGAACGGGUGAGUAAUGUAUCGGAACGUACCAUUGAGUGGGGGAUAACUAUCCGAAAGGAUAGCUAAUACCGCAUAUUCUCUCCGAAGGAAAGCAGGGGACCGCAAGGCCUUGCGCGCAUUGAGCGGCCGCUAUAAGAUUAGCUAGUUGGUGAGGUAAAGGCUCACCAAGGCGACGAUCUGUAGCGGGUCUGAGAGGAAGAUCCGCCACACUGGAACUGAGACACGGUCCAGACUCCUACGGGAGGCAGCAGUGGGGAAUUUUGGACAAUGGGGGCAACCCUGAUCCAGCCAUGCCGCGUGAGUGAAGAAGGCCUUCGGGUUGUAAAGCUCUUUCGGCCGGGAAAAAAUCGCAUGGGUUAAUACCCUGUGUGGAUGAUGGUACCGGAAUAAGAAGCACCGGCUAACUACGUGCCAGCAGCCGCCGUAA